rnacentral:rRNA from 1 species
GCUUGUCUCAAAGAUUAAGCCAUGCAUGUCUAAGUAUAAGCCUUUAUAUGGUGAGACUGCGAAUGGCUCAUUAAAUCAGAAACUGUUUAUUUGAUAGUGCCUACUACAUGGAUACCUGUAGUAAUUCUAGAGCUAAUACAUGCGCCCAGACCCAACUUUUAGGAAGGGUUGUAUUUAUUAGGUACAGAACCAAUGCAAGCUCCGCUUGACCUUUUGGUGAUUCAUGGUAACCGAACGAAUCGCACGGCACCAGCUGGCGAUGGACCAUUUCAGUUUCUGACCUAUCAGCUUCCGACGGUAGGAUAUGGGCCUACCGUGGCAAUGACGGGUAACGGAGAAUUAGGGUUCGAUUCCGGAGAGGGAGCCUGAGAAACGGCUACCACAUCUAAGGAAGGCAGCAGG